GUGCUCACUUCAACAGCACAUGUACUAAAAUUAGAAUACAGAGAAGAUUAGCAUGGCCCCUGCACAAGGAUAACACGAAAAUUCAUGAAGUGGUCAAAAAGAAA